CCUACGGGAGGCAGCAGUGAGGAAUAUUGGUCAAUGGGCGGAAGCCUGAACCAGCCAAGUAGCGUGCAGGAUGACGGCCCUACGGGUUGUAAACUGCUUUUAUACGGGAAUAACGCGCCUUACGUGUAGGGCUUUGCAUGUACCGUAUGAAGAAGGACCGGCUAAUUCCGUGCCAGCAGCCGCGGUAAUACGGAAGGUCCGGGCGUUAUCCGGAUUUAUUGGGUUUAAAGGGAGCGUAGGCCGCAUGUCAAGCUUGCUGUGAAAUGUCCGGGCUCAACCCGGGACUUGCAGUGCGAACUGGUGUUCUUGAGUACGCGGGAGGCAGGCGGAAUUCGUGGUGUAGCGGUGAAAUGCUUAGAUAUGACGAAGAACCCUGAUUGCGAAGGCAGCCUGCUGGAGCGGAACUGACGCUGAUGCUCGAAAGCGCGGGUAUCGAACAGGAUUAGAUACCCGGGUAGUC
rnacentral:rRNA from 1 species